UACGUAGGGGGCAAGCGUUGUCCGGAAUCAUUGGGCGUAAAGAGCGUGUAGGCGGCCCGGUAAGUCCGCUGUGAAAGUCCAGGGCUCAACCCUGGAAUGCCGGUGGAAACUGUCGGGCUAGAGUCCGGAAGAGGCGAGUGGAAUUCCUGGUGUAGCGGUGAAAUGCGCAGAUAUCAGGAGGAACACCAAUGGCGAAGGCAGCGCGCUGGGACGGUACUGACGCUGAGACGCGAAGGCGUGGGGAGCAAACAGG
rnacentral:rRNA from 1 species